rnacentral:rRNA from 2 species
GUUUGCGACGCCCAACACACAAAACAAGCGGUGAGUGCUUUGGGGUGGGGUGACUGCGUACCUUUUGUAUAAUGGGUCAGCGACUUAUAUUCUGUAGCAAGGUUAACCGUAUAGGGGAGCCGAAGGGAAACCGAGUCUUAACUGGGCGUUAAGUUGCAGGGUAUAGACCCGAAACCCGGUGAUCUAGCCAUGGGCAGGUUGAAGGUUGGGUAACACUAACUGGAGGACCGAACCGACUAAUGUUGAAAAAUUAGCGGAUGACUUGUGGCUGGGGGUGAAAGGCCAAUCAAACCGGGAGAUAGCUGGUUCUCCCCGAAAGCUAUUUAGGUAGCGCCUCGUGAACUCAUCUUCGGGGGUAGAGCACUGUUUCGGCUAGGGGGUCAUCCCGACUUACCAACCCGAUGCAAACUGCGAAUACCGAAGAAUGUUAUCACGGGAGACACACGGCGGGUGCUAACGUCCGUCGUGAAGAGGGAAACAACCCAGACCGCCAGCUAAGGUCCCAAAGUCACAGUUAAGUGGGAAACGAUGUGGGAAGGCUCAGACAGCCAGGAUGUUGGCUUAGAAGCAGCCAUCAUUUAAAGAAAGCGUAAUAGCUCACUGGUCGAGUCGGCCUGCGCGGAAGAUGUAACGGGGCUAAACUGUGCACCGAAGCUGCGGCAGCGACGCUUAUGCGUUGUUGGGUAGGGGAGCGUUCUGUAAGCCUGCGAAGGUGUCCUGUGAGGGAUGCUGGAGGUAUCAGAAGUGCGAAUGCUGACAUAAGUAACGAUAA